UUUUCAUCUAAUCGUCAAAUUAAGGUAGCACGGCGGAUAAGCAAGUUGGGCACCGGCGGGAUCUCAACUAAAUAGGCUAAGGAACUGGUUCAAGUGAUUGUGCUAGCAACAUUCU